rnacentral:lncRNA from 1 species
UUAGAAGCAAGAUGGAGUCGGUUAGGUCAGACCUCUUUCACUGUCUCAGUUAUAAUUUUGCAAUGGCAGUUUCAGUUGUUGAUCUGGCAGAUGUUUUCUUUUCCCAUCUGGAAAGAGGAUCAAAGCAGAGGACAUUUAUGCAGAAAAGAUAGCAAAAUAUAUUCCAUGCUGCAAGGUUAUGUUAACUCUUCAGGUUUUUGUCACAGUAUAGUAGGAAGGAACUUUGUGUAUCUUAACAUUCCACAGAGCAUCAUAGUAUUUAUUAUAUUGAUGACAUCAUGUUAAUUGUGUUGGUGCAAGGAAGUGGGAAGUAUUCUGGAUACCUUGGCAAGACCCAUGGGUCUUGCGUCAUAGCCUGAGAGAUAAAUCCUACAAUGAUUUAGGGGUCUGCCAUACUUAUGAAGAUUUUAGGGACUCAAUGGUUUGGGCUAUGCAGGGAUAUCCCCUUUAAGAUGCCAAGAACCUGGACAUCCUCCACCAGAACAAUCUCACAACAUGUCAAGUUUCCAGAGAUUGCUACUGCCUUCUUAAGCAGAUUUUCAAUGACCUAAGUUCCACUGGAAGUAGACCUAACAUAACUAGGAUGAACAGGAAACCUCUGAAUGUGAAAGUGAACACUAUUAAUACUUACAUGAAGGCAACAGGCAUGAACUGGAACAACCUUGGCCAUGCUGGGACGUAUGUUCACCCUAAGCAAAGUCUCAGGGCCUCUCCAUGUGUUUUCUCGAGCAAUGUGUUUGGUCUUCUGGAAUUAUGAUUCAUGGAUUCAAGAGACCACGGUAGAAGCUUCUAAUCCUCUUAAAAAGCAAGACUGAUCAUGGGAAACUGUCCUGUCCACUAGUACAUUAUUUCAAUCAGAGGAAGCUACUCUCUGAUUUGUAACCUACUUCUGUCUCCAGGACAACCAUAAGACCAAAGGACUCCUUGGACACCUAGUCAGGAGGGUGGUGAGUUGAACUGAGCAAGCUUGAGCAUCUCAAACUGAAGUGGACACUUGCGCUUUAUACAGAGUAAGGCCCAAAUUGAAUUAACCUGGAGUGAGUCUGCAACAAGCCUAGCGUCUGCAUUUCUAUAACUGAUCUCAGCUAACACUGGAGCUACUUAAAUUCCCAAUGAUUUUAGAAAACUAUUUUUUUUAAAGUGUGUGAUUUGAAGGUAAAUGAACCUAUUCCAAUUUAACUGCUUUAUUUUUGUGGUUGCAUAUAUAAUCAUAUUUAAGCAAUUUAAAAUCCAAACUCCCUUUUGGAGCUGUUUUAUUUUCUGAAGGGUCUUCCUUCCUUUUUCUUAUGCCCAAGAUGGUGUCUGGGUGCAGAAGGAAGCUUAUUUACCUUCCGGCUUUGGGGAAGGGCUCCUUACCCAAGUGAUGUGGUUCUCUCGUUUCCCUGUUGAUCACCAGCUGAGAUAUGUACUCACCUCACUUGACUUCUAUCCUCACUGUGUCUGCUGAUAAAAUGUCAGUUUUGUCCUCCAUUAGCUUUCUGGCCUGCCUGUGUAACCCAAGGCCUUCAGUGUCAUCUCACCUCUCUCUGUAGUGACCCAAAGGCAAGUUCAUAGAUUCCUGACUCUUGGCUAGCUUCUAUGACUUUUUCUAGGAACAAGUAGGAGCUUCUGGCUCUUUUCUAUACUGCAAGGGAAAGUGUAGUAAACUUGAGGAUGGCUAAUACAGUCCCCUCUAACAACUCAUGCUUCUUUCUCCUCCACUGCAAACACACAUGCUGGUUUAGGCCAGCAGGCACUAUGUGUGGUGUGGUGGUCUGCCCUCUGUCCCAGACAGGAAUUGCAGUGCCUGAGGGCCUUUUUCCACCCAGGGCACAACUCGCCAGUUUGAAGUUUCUAGCUUAUCUAUCUUCUCUGCCUCAUUUCUGGCUCCACAUUCAACCCCUCCACUGGCUAAAUCUUAGGGGUCCAGAGUGGGACCACUGAGAUCCUAAAGAAUCCAGGCAGGGCGUGCACUUUGCUCCCUGCUAAGCUCUCCUGCUGCUCAGGAGGGGUGUGUGCCCUCUCCUCAAUCUGGUAGAUACUUCUUUCAUCAUUGGUUUUGAAAUCCUCCACUGAUGACUUUGUUGUUCUGGGUGUUUCCUCUGUCCUCUCCUCUCAUAUCUUAAUGGUGGAUAGGGUUUUAGGGAUUAAAAAAUCUCUGGAUUACUGAAAGGAAAAAUGUUUAGAGAGGCAUUUAAGAUGAUUUUUCUUAUUAUCACUUUUAAACCCACACUGAAGGUCUAGGUCCUAUACCUGUUCUGUUGGAAUCUUGGCCAAUCUCACAGUUUUUCUGGUCAUUCUUAGAAUAGUUAUAAUGGCCUUUGUUUAAAAAACAAUUUCAUAUGAAAACUAAAAUAUGCAGGUCAGCAUAAUAAUCAAACCCUUAUACUCUUACCUAAAUGUCAUUACGUAGGUUUCCCCCAAACAUCACCUCCUCAGGGAGGCUUUCUCUGACCAUUAAAUGUAGCCUCAUGGAAGUUCUAGGCAACCUUUGCCAUUUCCUGUUGUAACACCUUGAUUUAGUUCACUUAACAUAUACAUAUUGGGGGCUUACUACGUGGCAUCCAGAAUUAUUCUAGGCACUAGGAAUAUCACAAUAAAUAAGACAGAGCCGGUCCUUUACCUAGUGGAAGGACACAAGCACUAGACAAACAAUUAAAUGAGCAAGAAAAAUAUCAUUUAGCAGCAUGUGCUAUGCAGAUAAUUUUGUUUUUUGAGACAGAGUCUCACUGUGUCACCCAGGCUGGAGUGCAG